rnacentral:lncRNA from 1 species
GUUGGUGUAGUCUGAUGGCACGGGCACCCGCUUAGCCCAUAAGAUUUCUUCUACUAGUUGUAUCAGUGUGAUUUGGCCUUAUAGGCCCUACCUUGUGAACUUGACCAUUCGGUCACGUGAUGUAAUAAUUUGGUACUUGGAUGUAAGAGUCUUAUUAUUCAGUAUAUGUGUGUUCGGUGAGCAUUGAUCUCUGGGAUCACUGAG